UACGUAGGGUGCGAGCGUUGUCCGGAAUUAUUGGGCGUAAAGGGCUCGUAGGCGGUUUGUCGCGUCGGGAGUGAAAUCCACUGGCUUAACUGGUGGCUUGCUUUCGAUACGGGCAGACUGGAGGUAUGCAGGGGAGAACGAAUUCCUGGUGUAGCGGUGAAAUGCGCAGAUAUCAGGAGGAACACCGGUGGCGAGGGCGGUUCUCUGGGCAUGUCCUGACGCUGAGGAGCGAAAGUGUGGGGAGCGAACAGG
rnacentral:rRNA from 1 species